rnacentral:tRNA from 1 species
GAUCGGUUAGUCUAAGACUCAAGACAUGUGUUUUGAAAACACAAAAAAGCUGUAAUUUAAGCUACUGUUCU